UGCCAGGACCCUGCAGCUCUGGCAAGGAGCCCAGCCCCAGGAUCCCGUUCUGUGAUCCGGAAAGAACACAGACCACCCGCCAUGGAGUUUCGGCUGAACUGGGUGGUCUUGUUUGCUCUCUUACAAGGUGUCCAGGGUGAGGAGAAGCUGGUGGAGUCUGGAGGAGGCCUGGUGCAGCCUGGGGGUCUCUGAGACUCUCCUGUGUCGGCUCUGGAUUCACCUUCAGUAGUUAUAGCAUGAGCUGGGUCCGCCAGGCUCCAGGGAAGGGGCUGGAGUGGCUGGCAGGUAUUUAUAGUAGUGGUAGUAGCACCUACUACGCAGACUCUGUGAAGGGCCGAUUCACCAUCUCCAGCGACAACUCCCAGAACACGGCCUAUCUGCAAAUGAACAGCCUGAGAACCGAAGACACGGCCCGGUAUUACUGUGCAAGAGGCACACGGUUUGGGUGCCACGGUAGAAAUCAGAAUGGUCCACGAGUGACAGGUGUCUACCGUGACGAAACUGAUGCAAUGAAGAGACAUCUUCGUAAAGGCCAUCCAACCGACCAGCAUCAGGACCCUCAUGCCUGCCUUGGGCACCUGCCACUUUGA